CCUACGGGAGGCAGCAGUGGGGAAUAUUGGGCAAUGGGCGCAAGCCUGACCCAGCAACGCCGCGUGAAGGAAGAAGGCUUUCGGGUUGUAAACUUCUUUUCUCAGGGACGAAGCAAGUGACGGUACCUGAGGAAUAAGCCACGGCUAACUACGUGCCAGCAGCCGCGGUAAUACGGAGGUGGCAAGCGUUAUCCGGAUUUACUGGGUGUAAAGGGCGUGUAGGCGGGCAAGCAAGUCAGAUGUGAAAACCAUGGGCUCAACCUGUGGUCUGCAUUUGAAACUGUAUGUCUUGAGUACUGGUGAGGCAGACGGAAUUCCUGGUGUAGCGGUGAAAUGCGUAGAUAUUAGGAGGAACACCAGUGGCGAAGGCGGUCUGCUGGACAGCAACUGACGCUGAGGCGCGAAAGCGUGGGGAGCAAACAGGAUUAGAUACCCCGGUAGUC
rnacentral:rRNA from 1 species